rnacentral:rRNA from 1 species
GAUCGGCGAUUGGGACGAAGUCGUAACAAGGUAGCCGUACCGGAAGGUGCGGCUGGAUCACCUCCUUUCUAAGGAG